rnacentral:rRNA from 1 species
GACGAACCGUGCGAGCGUUAUUCGGAAUCACUGGGCUUAAAGGGCGCGUAGGCGGGUUCGUUAGUCAGGGGUGAAAUCCCACGGCCCAACCGUGGAGGUGCCUUUGAUACUGCGAGCCUCGAGGGGGGUAGGGGCGUGCGGAACUCAGGGUGGAGCGGUGAAAUGCGUAGAUAUCCUGAGGAACACCGGUGGCGAAAGCGGCGCGCUGGAUCCCUUCUGACGCUGAGGCGCGAAAGCCAGGGGAGCAAACGGG